CCUACGGGGGGCAGCAGUGGGGAAUAUUGGGCAAUGGGCGCAAGCCUGACCCAGCAACGCCGCGUGAAGGAAGAAGGCUUUCGGGUUGUAAACUUCUUUUCUCAGGGACGCAGCAAGUGACGGUACCUGAGGAAUAAGCCACGACUAACUACGUGCCAGCAGCCGCGGUAAUACGUAGGUGGCAAGCGUUAUCCGGAUUUACUGGGUGUAAAGGGCGUGUAGGCGGGGACGCAGGUCAGAUUGGAAAACGACGGGACAAACCUGUGGCCUGCAUUUGAAACUGUGUUUCUUGAGUACGGGAGAGGCAGAUGGAAUGCCUAGUGUAGCGGUGAAAUGCGUAGAUAUUAGGAGGAACACCAGUGGCGAAGGCAGUCUGCUGGACAGCAACUGACGCUGAGGCGCGAAAGCGUGGGGAGCAAACAGGAUUAGAUACCCGGGUAGUC
rnacentral:rRNA from 1 species